CAUAUUCAAUUGUCAAGACCAGAUUUAAAUUCAAUAAGUCGAGACCGGAUUUAAUUUGUGCGGCCCACUGCGUAUCGCGGCACUAGUGCCCAUUGCGAUUUUCCAUAAACGGAUUACUGGUUUGGGCAGCACAAGGCAGAACUUGGUAUAUUGAGGAGCUUUACAUUACUCAGGGCCGUUCACGUGGGUGAACGGAAAGGUGGGGCAGGACUGUCGGAAAUCCCUAUCCCUCCUCAGACUUAAUUAUUUCGGAACCUGUUUUAAAUCCGUAUCGUUUGCCAAAUAGUUCCAAGCACAAGGGAGCAGGCGAUUUGAGCAUCGUUCUUGAUGGUGAUGCUGUGCGAUGCCUUACCCGCUGGCCGUCCCGUAGCGCACGACUGUGGCACUGCGGAUGAUCAUUUUACCCAAAUAAAUAGUUAAAUGAGUGAACACCCGACCAUCUGGUGGAGUAGAGGUACGGUAGGUUUCCUUCUCUUCGCUGCCCUUUGUGACGUGUGUGUGUGCGGUUGCUACAUUGGGCUCCAGACUCACGGAGAGUAGAGCCAGCGGGCCGUGACGUGGAUAGUGGUGCUGAGUGUGAGCCGGAUAUGGGAUUGGAUGUGGGGUUGGGGCCAGCGGUGCUUUGAUUACCUGGUGUUUCUUCACCUCUUCAUCCGGCUUUUACAGUUUCAUUUCCCACGGGUGCGGCAGUGUCUGAGAAUGCUCUUUGUUCGAAACAAGAUGUCCCCGUAUGGCACAGCUGCUGCGCAGCAGCGUCCAGCAGCUCACUGCAACGCUUGGCCCUCAUCGCUCCCACCGAUAUGGCUUGGCAGCUGUAUGGCUGUAACGGACUGUAUCGUAGAGUUAUGCUUCGCCAAGUCAUAUGACGGCACGGACUUGUGAAACUAUG
rnacentral:lncRNA from 1 species